UCGAACGGUAGAUUGCUUUCGGGUAAUUGAGAGUGGCGAACGGGUGCGUAACGCGUAUGCAACCUACCCUAUACAGGGGGAUAGCCCGGAGAAAUCUGGAUUAAUACCCCAUGGCACUGUGAAGAGGCAUUUCUUUACAGUUAAAGAUUCAUCGGUAUAGGAUGGGCAUGCGUCUGAUUAGCUAGUUGGCGGUGUAACGGACCACCAAGGCGACGAUCAGUAGGGGUUCUGAGAGGAAGGUCCCCCACACUGGCACUGAGAUACGGGCCAGACUCCUACGGGAGGCAGCAGUAGGGAAUAUUGGGCAAUGGACGAGAGUCUGACCCAGCCAUGCCGCGUGCAGGAAGACGGCGUUCUGCGUUGUAAACUGCUUUUAUCUGGGAAGAAAAGGCCCCUGCGGGGGACAUUGCCGGUACCAGAUGAAUAAGCACCG
rnacentral:rRNA from 1 species